UAUUGUUGUGUUAGGGCAAUGAGUCAC
rnacentral:sRNA from 1 species